UCAGUUACCGUAAAAAAAUGGGUAGGCUUCGGCCUCAUCAGCGAGUUCACUGCUCAGCCUCAAGUUAGGUUACACAGUUGUGUCUGAAAGAAGUGAUGCAGGCUGAAAGUUAAUCGAGGCGGAAUGAUUUCUCAAAAUUGCACAUUGGUUCACCAAUUUAUUUUUUCAGUGUUAGCAUGUUGUGUCGAAGAUAUGUAGUAGUGAACGUGUUUUUGUUUAGAUCUCGAGGUACAGUUGUGUUGCGUGAAAUUACGGCGAAUAUCGGGAAUGUUGGUUUACGGCUGUUUUCAGCUGACAACUUGAUAAAUGUUGAUUCACAUGUUAAUUUUUGAAAUUAUGGUAUACUAAUCAUGCUGUUGGACUCUUGGUAUACAGAUAUUAAACACAUUUCUGGUUCGUAAGUGUUCUCCAGGCAUGUGAUGACCCAGGGAUAUCAGCUAUUGACAGAUGUAGGAUGAAAUAUAGUUUUACAGGUUCAAGAAAUUCCUUCUGUCUCUGGCUGACUUGUCAACCUGAUGCUGACAUGUUCAUGUAUGCCAUUUGCAAGUGUCAGACCUACAACAACAAGGGGCUCUAAUUAGUCAGCCAUGCGAAAAAACUGUCUUGUCUUGCAACUAUGCCAGGUGCCAGGAAUGGAGUCCCCAGCUGUGUGGAGCUUGAGGUCAAUACAUCCAAAAUUUGUGGGGAGAGCAUUGUAAGACAAGAUUCAACCAGGACCACUUGAUGCCCCCAGUAGACUACAUCAUGCGAGGAAACCGGUGCAGGGUAUGUCAAGUCUCCAUGAACCUGGAGCUACCACAGGAAAGCAAGAUAAAUCGACUAAUAAAAGCUGGACUUUCUGUUGCCCACUGCGAUGAACAUAUGUCCAAGUGCUGAAUCAGUUAUGAUUUUACAUAUGCACUUUCAUAAUGUGUAAAUAUGAGAAUUGUAAAGUUGGAGCUGCUUUGGAUGAUGUGAUGUAGUGUGAUAAUCAUUAGACAAAGAAAGUCAUAUUCGGAUUUGUUAAUGAAUAAAACACUUGAACUUCAUAUAUGGCUGUAAAUAUAUCUUUAUUACAAGUUAAUAUGGUUGAUAAAAACAAAAUUGAAAUACA